GCCAGUGUGGUGUAGUGCUUUGAAUGCUGGACUAAAACUCUGGUGGCCAGGGUUCAAUUCACCACUCAGUCA